AAAAUCUUAUUAUCAUAUCCAAUAAUAUCUUUUAUAUGAUUAACAUUCCUCAAGCCUCAACCAAUAAUGACAAUUUGGUUUACAUGAUAUUGACUUCCUUUCUUUUCGUCUUCCAGGUUGAUAAGGGAACUUGCUCCAUUAGCAGUAUAUAAUUCUCCAUUUCCUUUCAGAACAACAACAACAUGUAUUACGUAAGACCGUAGAUUAAACUAUUUCAAUGGUUGGGUUUAGAGGGGACAAAAAUCACAGGGUCAUGGCCCUUCAACCAAGAUUUGGGCUUCAGACUCAAAAACUGGCACUUGGGUAUAAACCAAGCAAUCCCCAUGUGCUGAAGGGGCAAAAUUUAUUAGAACACAGCUAAUCAACUUUGAACGAAGAAGCAUACACACGUCGGGGCAGGGCCUAGGCAUCACUGCCACGCACUUACAUGUGUCCUUUAAUCAUAACAUAUCUCCUGCAAAUACACUGUUAGUACACCACCAAAAUCCUUAGAUUUUACUUCAUUUAUGAAAGGAGGAGGAAAAAUGUCUUACCUCUAAUGCUAUCUCAGCCAACCAGCUCAUGAAUAACAGUAUCCGAUUUUGUUCAUCUAAGGCAAUGGCAGCAACAACUAUAGUAACAAGAUCCUCGUCCCUCUUGUUAUUUUCUUCUACAGCUUAUUUUCCAAAGACAAUAAUCAACAACCAUGCCCAUAAUUGGUCUAAUUUUAUUGUAUCUCUAAGCGAAAGUGAGACUGGUCUACCUGAUGAAGUUUCUGACCCUCCUCCACUGAGCCCGGGGCCUAACCCAGGACCUGAUUUUCCACGUCCUCCGAUGCCAUCUCCGCCAGCUCCUGAUAUUCCUUUGCCAAGGCCUGGAAAGCCGCCCCCUGAUAAUCUUCCUCCUUUGCCAAGGCCUCUGAUAUCGAGACACCUUCACUGCCUAAUAUCGAUCCACCGCCAUCUAUUCCACCAGAUAUUCCACUAUCUUCGGGAUCAUCUGAUUCACUUUUUUCCUAGCUAGGCAGAAGAUUUUUAAAUGGAUUGAUAGGGAUUUUUAAUAACCUGUUGUGAUGUAUAUGUUUAUAGUCUUGUCAAUUAAUAAUAUGUUCUGCCGAUUUUACUAAUUUUGUCUGCAUGUGUCGAUUACUGCUGUGAUUUCUUCACUCUCAUCAAGAGGAAAUAAUUAGUGCUCGGCGCCGAAUUUCUUGCAAUAUGAAAAUGGGAUUACUGACAAAUGAUAAAGUAACACGCAAAUUGACAUCACACAACCGUGAAAUUUGAAGUGCUCUGAAGGCUGAACUUGAAACAUAUGCUCAACUGAAUUUUGCGAGGGUAUAACUGCAAGAGAACUAUAAAUUGAAUUUUAAGGAAGAGUAAAGAACUCAUCUAGUAAAGUUCAAGAUUUUAAGAGGAAAGUAAUACCAAUGGACAAUGAACAUAUUUGUUUCCGAGCUCCCAUAUUUGCUCGGACAUGAUUCUUGCUUGCUUAAGCAUGUAUGCUUUGCCAUCUAAUUUAUGCAAAAAAAUGGGUUAAUCGAGCGAAAUGAGAACAUGAUUCAGGAACUCGACUACUAAAACAAUUUAUUUAAGAAAAAAGAAAAGGAUAAAGAAAAAGUCUAUUGAGGCAAAUUUAGCUACUUGAAGAAACUUCCGACGUGUCCUUGUAAGGGAGUUAAGACACGCUUAUAUGGAGUUGAAUAUCAUGCAUGCCGUAC
rnacentral:lncRNA from 1 species